rnacentral:rRNA from 1 species
UACGUAGGGUGCAAGCGUUAUCCGGAAUUAUUGGGCGUAAAGAGCUCGUAGGCGGUUUGUCGCGUCUGCUGUGAAAACUGGAGGCUCAACCUCCAGCCUGCAGUGGGUACGGGCAGACUAGAGUGCGGUAGGGGAGAUUGGAAUUCCUGGUGUAGCGGUGGAAUGCGCAGAUAUCAGGAGGAACACCGAUGGCGAAGGCAGAUCUCUGGGCCGUAACUGACGCUGAGGAGCGAAAGGCAUGGGGAGCGAACAGG